GUAUUGUUAAUAAUAAUUGUGCAAUAAUGGAAGUUUCCUCCAUUCUGCGCUUUUUUCAUAAACUCAGUAGAAUUCGAGGCAGAGAAUCUACUCAAGAGAUAUAUUAGAAGUAUGGACGUGAAGACAAAGGGAAUGAAUCGAGAAGAAACUUCCGCAGAUACGAAACCAGUAAUAAAAAUCUAACUCCGAAACAUUUUUUAUAUUCACAUAUGUAUGUAUAUUGUUGAUGUACAUUAAUAACACAUAUGUCCACAAAUUCAUAGGCAAUAUCAACUUACUCAAAAACAAAUAAAUUUUGUUAGACGAA